rnacentral:lncRNA from 1 species
ACGCAGUUUGCAAUCCAUCUUCAUCAUGCGGAAGAAAUAUUACAGAAAAAACUCAAAUCAUGAAAUCUUACAAAGACAUCCUAUCAGGUACUUUUACUACUUCUAUUCCUAUCAAAUCUGGAAGUAAGCAUAAGGGCGUUCCCUCUAUAUCUUUCUGUAAAGAGGAAGUCUCCAUCUUGGCUCAAUGCUUCUCCUUAGCAUUGGUAGCAUCCUUCUCACAAGACCGGCCGUCCUUGGCUUCUUUGAAAACUUGGUUCGAGAAGGUUGGCUUUACGGGAGGACCAUCUAUUGGGCUUCUUGAUGACAGGCACAUUCUGCUGAACUUCACCUCCCAUGAAGAUUACCAGCGAUGCUUUCUUAGGCGUAACUGGACUGUGCAAAAAUUCCCCAUGAAAAUUACCAAAUGGUCUCCGGACUUUGAUCCUAGGUUUGACAAUCCAAUUGUGCCUGUUUGGGUCUCUCUCCAACAUCUUCCAAUCCACUUACACGACAGAAAUGCAUUGUUCUCCAUUGCAAGCCUGCUAGGUACGCCUAUUACCCUUGAUGCUGCAACUGCUUCUUUCUCUAGACCAUCUACUGCACGUUUCUGUGUUGAAAUGGAUAUAUCCUCAGAACUACCUCAAAAAAUAAGGGUAAUGAAUGGGGACACAGAGCUUUACCUAUAUCCCAACUAUGAAAAAGUCCCAUUCUUUUGCAAAACCUGUCAUCAGAUUGGUCAUCAAGAAUCAUCAUGCAGAAAACUCAUAACAGAUGUUCAAUCCAGUGAACCAAGAUCGGAAGCUGCCAAACAUAAGGCAGCAAAUCAAUCUACACAGUUGCCAGGCACAGAAAAGCACUGGGUCCCAAAAGUCACCAAGAAUAAUGUGCAAACAGAAAAGUCCACACUGGACACAAUAAUUCAAAAUAAUACAGAGCAAAAGUCCAACGUGGACACUGUAGCACAGCAUGCUAAUGAGAAAACAGUGCAGUCCAACCUUGAUACAGUAACUCAAGAGAAUCAUUUGACUACCACUUUGGAGAUUAUCGAGGCUAAAAUUCAAAACAAUUCAAUCGAGGUGGUCCCUACUGAAGACAAUAUGGUACAUGAUGAUCAAUUACCUCUUCUCUCAAAUAAUGAAGGUGAAAAUCCCCUGAAAGUUCUGGAUAAUCCUCUUAGCUCCUGGAGUCAUCAAGCAAUAUUGGUACCCAGUGAACCUGCAUACACAGAAAAUAAUUGCAAUGAUGGUCACAUUGAAGACAUUUCUACAUCCCUCACCAAACUCAAUCAGGAAGAGCAGGAACUCAUCAAAGCAAUGCCAGCUCAAAUCAACCUGGACAGAGAGGCAGAAGAAUUUAGUAAAGAUGAUAAUACUACUACAGAGGACACUAAUACUCUGGUAAGACUUGCCACUAGUGAUACUGAAUUUGAUGGGAAGAUGCAUCAUAGAAGAAAGCAACAAUCUAGCAGAAUAUGCACCCGGAGUAUGGCACAAGCUUCUACCCUCACCCAUACCUCAUGAAUUGUUUAUUCUGGAAUGUAUGUGGUGGUAUUCGAAGAAAUGGGAGGAUCUGGAGAAGAAUUGACAGAGUAUUCCACAACCUUCCAAUGACAGACAUUUUCCCCAACCUUAC